rnacentral:rRNA from 1 species
AGAGUUUGAUCAUGGCUCAGAGCGAACGCUGGCGGCAGGCCUAAUACAUGCAAGUCGAGCGCACCUUCGGGUGAGCGGCGGACGGGUGAGUAACGCGUGGGAACGUGCCCUUUGGUACGGAACAACUGAGGGAAACUUCAGCUAAUACCGUAUGUGCCCUUCGGGGGAAAGAUUUAUCGCCAUUGGAGCGGCCCGCGUUGGAUUAGGUAGUUGGUGAGGUAAAGGCUCACCAAGCCUACGAUCCAUAGCUGGUCUGAGAGGAUGAUCAGCCACACUGGGACUGAGACACGGCCCAGACUCCUACGGGAGGCAGCAGUAGGGAAUCUUGCGCAAUGGGCGAAAGCCUGACGCAGCCAUGCCGCGUGAAUGAUGAAGGUCUUAGGAUUGUAAAAUUCUUUCACCGGGGAAGAUAAUGACGGUACCCGGAGAAGAAGCCCCGGCUAACUUCGUGCCAGCAGCCGCGGUAAUACGAAGGGGGCUAGCGUUGCUCGGAAUUACUGGGCGUAAAGGGCGCGUAGGCGGAUAUCUAAGUUGGGGGUGAAAUCCCGGGGCUCAACCUCGGAAUUGCCUUCAAAACUGGAUAUCUUGAGUUCGGGAGAGGUGAGUGGAACUCCGAGUGUAGAGGUGAAAUUCGUAGAUAUUCGGAAGAACACCAGUGGCGAAGGCGACUCACUGGCCCGAUACUGNNNCUGAGGCGCGAAAGCGUGGGGAGCAAACAGGAUUAGAUACCCUAGUAGUCC